AAUUGCUUGCAACUUCCUUAUUAUCAACAAUCAUAAAAAUGUCAUUGAUGUAGUGGGUAUAAAACUUGAUAGAAUUUUUAAUAUGGUAAAGAUGGCAGCUUCUUUACUUUUCUAACUAAGAUUUCUGCUAGUUUGCCAGCUAUAGAGGAACCCAUAGGGGCACAUUUAGUUUGCAUGAAAUAUCUACCAUUGUACUUAUAAUAGACAUUUUUGCAAAAGUUACCAAAUGGAAUGAAUCCCAUCACCUUGAAUUUAGUCUCUAAAAAUCUCAGGCAAGUGUUUUUUCCAAAUUCAAAACCAACAAGAGAUUGCCCUAUAUAAGAAUGUAUAAUAAAUCCAUCCAGUUUGUCCAAAGUUCUUUUGGAUAACAAAUUCAACUAGAUAUCUCAUCAUCUUUAUCUUAAGGAUAAAACAAUUAAUCUCUUUCAUUGGAUAGCUAAAGAAAAAGUGAGGCCUUUCUGGCUCUUGUUUUCUCCAAAUUUAUAAAAGCACAAUAUUUCUCUAUGCUUUUGGUAUGCAGUCUUAGAGACAGAGAGAGAGAAUUCCUCUGAGUUACUUCUCUAGAAACUGAAUUCAGUUCAUUCACUGAAAUGGCCACAUGGUAAAGCCUUUGCUUAACAUCUUGGAGGGAUCCAGAUUCAAAUCUGAGUCCCAAGCCUUCAGUUUUCAGAAGAGGUCCAGGCCCAGCCCAUUAAAUUCCAUUCUUAAACCUACCAGUUACUCCAUCAUAGAUGUUAAUCAGCAUGUGGUUGAUUCUAAAAGUGGCUGCUAUCAAAUAUAAAUAUCCCAAGUGAAAUUUUGUAGCUUAACUCAGACUUAAUCUAACCUGAACUCAAUUCAGCAACAAUUUAUUCUUUGCUGUGCUUGCGUAUUUCACACUAUGUCUACAGAAGCAAUUUAUGUCCUGGUUGGCAUCCUCCAUAUUGAACUUGAACUUCAUUUUGUUGCCGAUCGCUUCUGUAGUAAUAGUGACUGGAUUUCCAAAUUCCUUGUGCCCUAUACUACUCUUACUCAUUGAGAAUAAGAUACCUUUAUAUAAGUUAUAACUCCUAUCCUUUUGUUUAGUCUUUCUAGCAAGGAAUUCUCCAGUUCACACUCCAUCUUCAUUGAUGCAAUGUAUAAUAAUAAUGGUAUUGUCAUUUCGUCACCUUUCUUUAGGGACAGAGAAAUUAUCUACCAAAAACUUAGUCUUUUCAACUCAUUGUAAUAACUUUCAAGCUAAACAUCUUGUGGUCUGCAAAAGUAUUCACUGGAUUUGUAAAAAUACAUAUCAGUUUGAUAUCUUCCUGAUAGAAAGCAGUUAUAGAUUCAAAUUAUAAGUUAUUCUGUAACAAACAUCUAAUGAUUGUUUCCUAUAAGAAGGAAAUAAUAAAUCACUAUUUUCAAAAUUCUCUCUCUCUCAUGAAUCUGAAGUCAUUUGGGCCAUCCUGGCAAUGGAGUACAGAUCAGUUUGUCUGAGAAGCCUAUCUUAUUCUUUCAUCAUCUCAUACAAAAGGAUUUCUAUAUCAAACAUCAAGCACUCUAAUUGUUCUCUGAAAGUUUCAUCGUGGCAGGAUUUUUGGUACACUUCUUUGUAGAAGAGAAUUUUGCACUCUUUCCUUGCUGAGGUGAAUGAACUAUUUAUAUGUAAGCAUAUCACAAUCAGUUGAAUUGCUUUCCAAUUUUUACCAAGAUAUUUUCCAAUGAAAAGUUACCUCUUCUCCUGGACAUUGCCACACUAACUUGGGCAAUUUCUGUAAGGUAACUGAAGCUGUCAUUGACAUCUCGUUUAACUAUUCUAAGUUUGAUCAUUAGAGACUUUCCCUCAAACUAAUUGAUAAGGAAUUUGGACUCUCUUGACCCUCUCUAAAUUUUAUCUGAUUAUUCAUAAAGAAUCUUAUGAUCAUAUUUUUAUCAAAAAUAUCUUUGUGCAGUUUAACAUAGUAUAACUUUCAAACUAACAUUAAAAUACAACUAAUCUUUAUUAACAUAAUAGUAUAAUUAAUCUUAACUGAUAAGAUGCUAUUAUUAUUAGAAUUUAACUAACACGAU
rnacentral:lncRNA from 1 species